ACCAAUAUGGCAGAGGAGUAUGCGAAAGUUCUAAGAUCUUUUUACGAUUUUAAAAAAAUCUAUUGGUU
rnacentral:tRNA from 1 species